UACGUUCAUCUCACAAUUCUAACACUUCUGUGCUAUGAUAGUGAGACGCAAGUAAGUCGCGGAACGGAGCGUUCAUCCCAUGGUAGAAUUUCUACUUUACACUACACUCAGUUGCCAACAAACCGAUGCUAUCGUGCUGAGGAUUCAGGCAAACAAACUCAUCGAUGAUGUAUUGAAACUUGAGCUGGUCGAGACCGUAAGGGAAUCAGCACCAGAAUGUGAGUGGUAUUGGGACGCAAACGACUGAAGGAACGGGGA
rnacentral:ncRNA from 21 species